rnacentral:rRNA from 1 species
AGAGUUUGAUCAUGGCUCAGGAUGAACGCUAGCGGCAGGCUUAACACAUGCAAGUCGAGCGCCCAGCAAUGGGAGCGGCGCACGGGUGAGUAACACGUGGGAACGUGCCCUUUGGUUCGGAAUAACGUAGGGAAACUUGCGCUAAUACCGGAUAAGCCCUAACGGGGAAAGAUUUAUCGCCAAUGGAGCGGCCCGCGUCCGAUUAGCUAGUUGGUGGGGUAAAAGCCUACCAAGGCAACGAUCGGUAGCUGGUCUGAGAGGACGACCAGCCACACUGGGACUGAGACACGGCCCAGACUCCUACGGGAGGCAGCAGUGGGGAAUCUUGGACAAUGGGGGAAACCCUGAUCCAGCCAUGCCGCGUGAGUGAUGAAGGCCCUAGGGUUGUAAAACUCUUUCGGCGGGGACGAUAAUGACGGUACCCGCAGAAGAAGCUCCGGCUAACUUCGUGCCAGCAGCCGCGGUAAUACGAAGGGGGCUAGCGUUGUUCGGAAUUACUGGGCGUAAAGCGCGCGCAGGCGGUCCUUUAAGUCAGGGGUGAAAGCCCAGAGCUCAACUCUGGAACUGCCUUUGAAACUAGAGGACUUGGGUACGGGAGAGGUGAGUGGAAUUCCGAGUGUAGAGGUGAAAUUCGUAGAUAUUCGGAAGAACACCAGUGGCGAAGGCGGCUCACUGGCCCGUUACCGACGCUCAGGCGCGACAGCGUGGGGAGCAAACAGGAUUAGAUACCCUAGUAGUCC